CACGAGUGAAGGUUCACAUAGACCUCCCUGAGCGGCCAUAGACACCAGCAGCUCUUCGGCUGACCAACCGCGUGCGCCGCCGCCUCUCUCCCUGGUAGCCCGCCUUCGGCGAGGAAGGCUACCAACGACGCGGAGAGCUGAACAGGAGCCCCGAUACGCCCCACCACAACGAAGAAGGACCCGCCAUGCCGCCCAAGAAAGUCAAGGAUCUAGCGAAUGCUCCUGUGCUCAAGAUGGCACACGAGGAGCAGGUGCAGCUCCUGUCUGAUGCGCUACUUCGAGAGUACAUGCACCGUCGCGGCUUCCUCGCGACCUUGAAGGCGUUUGAUGUGGAGCAUCCGCGCGACGCAAACACGAUCUCCUCGCGCGCGCUCAUGUCCGACCUCAUGGCGCUCAACCCUGACGAUCAGCAGCGCAUGAAAGGCGAGGGCAUUGAAACAAUCAUGGAGAUGCUGUGCAACUUGCGCGUUGAGCGCCGACUAGAAACGGAGAGGCUGAUAGCUGAGGCGCACAUGCCGCUGCCACAGGUGCCCGCCAACUACGAAGCACUCAAGAAUAAGCAAGCUGCGCGAGAGGCUCGAAUAGAGGAGAGACAGCUGCGAAAAGUGUCCUCCAAGAAGCCCAAGGUGUUCACUUCCGCAACGAGAGAUCAUGAGCUCGAAGGGGCCGGCGACGCGCCCCAGCGGAACAACAGCAGGCACAGCAAGCGCCACCAGCACCGCUCGGUCACCUCGCCAAGCGGCGCGUCCCGCGGGAAAGAGUUGGCUGGCAUCACGAUGGACGACUUGCUUGACAGCUCGCAUGGUAGCAGCAACAAUGUCGAAGAACACUUCAGCCGAGACAAAGAGGAGGAGGGCGGCAGCAGCUCCGACAGCCACAACGCAGAGCGGCCCGGCGCGAGAUCAGCUGCCACGUCGACUGCGUCGCAUGCAGGUCUGUCCUCGUCGAGGAUUGAGAAUACACCAGCCACCCAACCUGCUUGGAUGGAGGUUGCCGCGAAGCAGAAGUCAUGGUUGACGAAAGGGAAUGGUGGUGGCGGUGGAGCGCAACAGAGGCCCUCUGACGACGAGGGUGACGAUGAUGACGGUGCGGCCGACAGCGAGGCGGACGAGGACAGCGACGACGGUGUCGAAGGCCUUGGAGGAGCUGCAAUGACGGCAGAGCAGCGAGAGCAGCUCUGUGCCGCUUUUCAGCUUCUCUGCGGCUUUGACGGCAGCUUGCACAAGGCCGUUCUGGAGCAAGGCUUUACCUUCGACGACUGCGCCGACUGCGCCCUUAUCCAGUGGCAGCGAGGCGGCUGCGACGGGGUUAUUGCACCGAUUCAAGCCUUUGUGGCUGCCUACUACUAUGAGCGCGAAGUGUAUGUGGGCAAGGAGAAGCGCCAGCGCGAAUGCCUUGCCAAGGCGUUGUGCACUUCGCUGGAGCAGGCACAGCCGAACGCUGCCAAGAUUGUGCUGCUCGACAGCGUGUGGAAGACCGAGCGUGGCGGCUCUCGCUACACACGCAGCCACGUUCUGCGGCAGGCGGAGAAGCCUCGCACGCGAUGCUGGGCGAAGAUGACGAGCAUGCAGGAGGUCACUGAGGUUCUACGCGACACACUACUCACCGAGGAGCGCUGGAUGAAGCCACGCGGCGGGGGCGUUGCGAGCUUCUUGUUCUCACUGCUCGUCUCGCGCGGGGUGGAUGUGGUGCAGCAGGAGCUCACAAAGGCGAGCACCGCCGAUAGCGGGCGUCCGUCGCUGCUUCUUCCCAUGUCUGGCCGCGCGACGCUGGGCCUCGUCAAUCUUGUCUUGACGGGUCGCGCCAUUUUUUUUCGUCACAACGGGGUGCGGAACGGGAAUGAAGUGGGGUACUCUUCCAGACUCCGCUGCGGGCUUCUCUGCGGCGAUUCUGCCGCCGAUUUGGACGACCACGACCGAGCCGCUGCCGUCAGUGCGGCGUCGUCGUCUCCGCUUUCCUACACGAAUGCAACGGAGCCGCAAUUUCCCAGCUGGGUGGUAUGGCACCGGGAGAGCUUCGCGAAUCUGUAUAUGCCCAAAGAUACGCGGCAGCUUUUUCAACAAAAGCUGAAUUUGGGCGGGAACGCAUCUGUCGAUCUGGUCUACUGGGACGCCGCAACGGAGGACGAGGAAUUCCCUCUGACGGUGACGGUGCGCAGCAUCGUCUUCGGUGCCGGCAGCGGCAGCGGUGGUGGUGCGCGUAACGCCAAGUCGUUCGUUAACACCGCCAUCACAUCGGUUCCAGCGUGGUCGUCGGCGGUGAUUGACUGGAGAGGGAAGGCGCCUCUCCGAGAUUGAGCGCGGCGAGGCGAGCGUUUGGGCAACUCUACAGUGACUUGACAUGAACACCGAUGGCAUGGCCUACGAGGCGCGCCAAGACGUGUGCGUUUACGUAUAUAUGAGUGAACGUGUGCUGAUCCACACCUCUCCGGCUCUUCCACCAUGCUUCACCUUUUGUUGUCGCGACGGCUUCCAGGGUAUGCUGGCUUGUUCUUGUUCUCUCUCAAUGCGUGUGCAAGUAUAGGUCGCCUGGUUUUUGUUCUCCCUGUUUUUUUUUUCCUCCUUGUGCCGCUGCGUCGUGCGCUUUCUGGCUCUCCUCCCCUUCUUCCCCCGCCCCGCCUUGGCUGUUGUUCUUGUUGCUGCUGCGCGUUCGCUCCGGCCACGCGCCCUCCUCUCUCCCUCAUUGAGUACCGUAAUACCCACUCCCCUUUCCCUUCCCCUCUUCUCGGAAGGUGACCAGACGAACCACAAAGAAGGAGAGAGGAACAUCACAGAUUCCCCCUUUCCCCCGAAAAAAAAAUCCGCUCUCACAUAUUACGGUAUAUAUGCACCUAGGAACGAGGGAAGGAUGGCAAAUCUCGUUUCUCUUGCACCACCCUCUUUGUAUGAUCUGCAGUUGGUACGUGAGGUCAGCUCCCGCCGCCGCCCCCUCCCCUUCACCCUCCUCUCCCCUGAAUGACGGACAAGAAACCAAAAGCGGUGGUUUCCUAUGGGUGGUGCCCGGAGAAGCGAUUGGUGAUGUGUUGAUUCUAGGGUCAAUCAUACAUCCGCUUCCUUCUCUGAAG
rnacentral:misc_RNA from 1 species